CACCCCUAAGCACUUCCCCCUGAAAUGUAUAUUAAACUACAAUGUACAGCUCAUUGCUUUUAGACUUGAUGACUGCAGUGCAAGACAGCACAUUCUGACCUGUAGACUGAUGUUCCUGAUGUUCUACAAUAAUGAAUCCUGCUGAAGCGUUAUCUGAGUCUCCUGGUCUUUGCUUCUGAGUUUCCAACAACACAUUUGAAGGCAACCUCUGACAAGCUAAGUUAAAAUGCUAAUACUUGCGUAUUAAAAUGCUAAGGCUUGCAUGUUGAUAUAAACCUCUAAGCUAACAAUAUAAUUGUUUAUUGUAGGCUAUAUAAAAGCCUCUGACAGAGGAAUGCCAUUUUAUAAUGAAAGCUUAGCAUGAAACUCCUUUAGAUUAAACACAAUCGGAACACUGAGAUAUUACACUUCUAGUACUAGCUAAAUUAUUCUCUGGAAUCAUAAAAAUAAGUUAACAGUUAUCAUUAAUUGGAGUCAGAUAAUUAAUUAAUUGUAUUGGAGUCAGAUAUUUAAAUCAUAAAACUAAAACACGCAUUUAACCCUUGACUGCACUUAUUUCCAUAUAAGGCUGAUAUAAGAACCCUUUAAAAUUUAGCCCUAAUUUUUUCUAAGAGUGUAUAUCUGUUGGGUGAUGGUUCAUUACAAACUCAUUGCAUUACCUGCAUUAAAGAAUUACUAAAAACUCAUAUGUACUUGGACAUGUAUGUAUAAAAUAGUCAAUGUAUAAGUAUUAUGAUUUUGCAAACCUUUGACAUCAUCCUUACUUUAUAUGAGAGAGUAGCACCUUAUACAGUCCCCUUCCAAAAACAUUGGAAGAACAAGGCCAGUUCAUUUGUUUGUGCUAUACACCAAAGACAUUUGAGAUCAAAAGAUGGAUAUGAGAUGAGAAUUUAGAAUUUCGCUUUUAUAUUCUGGUAUUUACGUCUAGAUAUGUUACACCUCAGCCUCUUUCAGUUGUUUUUUGUUUUGAGGGGUUUCUCCCUUCAGUCUCCUCUUCAGGAGAAACUCUUGUUUGUUGGGCUGUGCACUCUAGCUGUUGGUGGGCUUGUUCUCAAACCUGCUUACUCCACUGUAACCAGUUGUCCACAGUGGGUGAGUCUGAGGGUUUGGCUCUUCAAUGGAGCAGACCUGUGCUGUUAGCCCUUGGCACCACUCGUCGCUUCCUUCUACAUCCAUGGAGAAGCUAACUAUUCUGUCAGGAAACUAUUGAGGAUGCAAGUGCAGGUCAGAUUCAUAGUGGAUCCAGAGUGAUUCCCAAGAACUAAUGGCACAAAGCAGUAAUACACUUUGGAUGGCAAGAUGGUGAUUGUUACGACACGGCGAAAUCGGCGCGGUAGCUCACAAAGUGUAGUGCCGCCCAGGGACGUGGCGGAGGAGGACUACACUUCCCAGUCAUACCCGCGCUCGAGUUCGCCGGACUUCUGAUUACGAACACCUGUACACACCUAAGGUUAUAUAAGGGCCUCCCUAGCAUGAGCCGCUUGCGAAGUAACCGCUCAGCAGCCUCGUCUCUGUUUGAUUACCAAGCCGGUUUCAUUAGAAGUGUUUUCCCUGGUGCUCGAUUUCACGCUCGUCCCUCACUACGCUUUUGCCUACGUCCCUGAUAUACAGCUUACCUGCUCGGUCCCGAGUCGAUUCUCGUCCUGUGUUCAGUCACACGCCAUCUCUCCGCUCGCCCGCGCUUGUCUCCGUCAGCGCCUCGUAACAGUGAUAUGUUUGUUGUGAAAAUA